rnacentral:tRNA from 1 species
GUCCCUGUAGCGCAAUGGAUAGCACGUUGGACUUCUAAUCCAAAGGUCGUGGGUUCGAAUCCCUCCUGGCAUG